rnacentral:rRNA from 1 species
CCUACGGGUGGCAGCAGUGGGGAAUAUUGGACAAUGGGCGAAAGCCUGAUCCAGCCAUGCCGCGUGUGUGAAGAAGGCCUUCGGGUUGUAAAGCACUUUCAGUGGGGAAGAAAGCCUUGGGGCUAAUACCCUCGAGGAAGGACAUCACCCACAGAAGAAGCACCGGCUAACUCCGUGCCAGCAGCCGCGGUAAUACGGAGGGUGCGAGCGUUAAUCGGAAUUACUGGGCGUAAAGCGCGCGUAGGCGGUCUGAUAAGCCGGUUGUGAAAGCCCCGGGCUCAACCUGGGAACGGCAUCCGGAACUGUCAGGCUAGAGUGCAGGAGAGGAAGGUAGAAUUCCCGGUGUAGCGGUGAAAUGCGUAGAGAUCGGGAGGAAUACCAGUGGCGAAGGCGGCCUUCUGGACUGACACUGACGCUGAGGUGCGAAAGCGUGGGUAGCAAACAGGAUUAGAUACCCCGGUAUC